UAGAGCACAUUCAGAAACACAUAUGGUAU
rnacentral:piRNA from 2 species